CAACAGGGAUUGCCUCAGUAACGGCGAGUGAAGCGGCAAAAGCUCAAAUUUGAAAUCUGGCACCUUCGGUGUCCGAGUUGUAAUUUGAAGAAGGUAACUUUGGAGUUGGCUCUUGUCUAUGUUCCUUGGAACAGGACGUCACAGAGGGUGAGAAUCCCGUGCGAUGAGAUGCCCAAUUCUAUGUAAAGUGCUUUCGAAGAGUCGAGUUGUUUGGGAAUGCAGCUCUAAGUGGGUGGUAAAUUCCAUCUAAAGCUAAAUAUUGGCGAGAGACCGAUAGCGAACAAGUACAGUGAUGGAAAGAUGAAAAGAACUUUGAAAAGAGAGUGAAAAAGUACGUGAAAUUGUUGAAAGGGAAGGGCUUGAGAUCAGACUUGGUAUUUUGCAAGCCUUACCUUCGUGGUGGGGUCCCCUGCAGUUUACUGGGCCAGCAUCGGUUUGGAUGGUAGGAUAAUGACUUGGGAAUGUGACUUUGCUUCGGUAAAGUGUUAUAGCCCUUGUUGAUACUGCCUGUCUAGACCGAGGACUGCGUCUUUGACUAGGAUGCUGGCAUAA
rnacentral:rRNA from 1 species